rnacentral:lncRNA from 1 species
CUUGGAGUUGUCCUCUACGUGCUUGUGUGCGGUGCCCUGCCGUUUGAUGGAAGCACACUGCAGAAUCUGCGGGCCCGCGUGCUGAGUGGAAAGUUCCGCAUCCCAUUUUUUAUGUCCACAGAAUGUGAGCAUUUGAUCCGCCAUAUGUUGGUGUUAGAUCCCAAUAAGCGCCUCUCCAUGGAGCAGAUCUGCAAGCACAAGUGGAUGAAGCUAGGGGACGCCGAUCCCAACUUUGACAGGGUGAGCUGG